rnacentral:rRNA from 1 species
UACGGGAGGCAGCAGUGGGGAAUAUUGCACAAUGGGCGCAAGCCUGAUGCAGCCAUGCCGCGUGUAUGAAGAAGGCCUUCGGGUUGUAAAGUACUUUCAGCGGGGAGGAAGGCGAUGCGGUUAAUAACCGCGUCGAUUGACGUUACCCGCAGAAGAAGCACCGGCUAACUCCGUGCCAGCAGCCGCGGUAAUACGGAGGGUGCAAGCGUUAAUCGGAAUUACUGGGCGUAAAAGCGCACGCAGGCGGUCUGUUAAGUCAGAUGUGAAAUCCCCCGGGGCUUAAACCUGGGAACUGCAUUUGUAAACUGGCAGGCUUGAGUCUUGUAGAGGGGGUAGGAAUUCCAGGUGUAGCGGUGAAAUGCGUAGAGAUCUGGAGGAAUACCGGUGGCGAAGGCGGGCCCCUCGGACAAAGACUGACGCUCAGGUGCGAAAGCGUGGGGAGCAAACAGGAUUAGAUAC